CCUACGGGUGGCAGCAGUAGGGAAUAUUGCUCAAUGGGGGAAACCCUGACGCAGCAACGCCGCGUGGAGGAUGAAGGUUUUCGGAUUGUAAACUCCUUUUGUUAGAGACGAUAAUGACGGUAUUUCACGAAUAAGCACCGGCUACCUCCGUGCCAGCAGCCGCGGUAGUACGGAGGGGGCAAGAGUUACUCGGAAUCACUGGGCGUAAAGAGCGCGUAGGCGGGAAAGCAAGUCAGAUGUGAAAUCCUCUGGCUUAACCAUAGAACUGCAUUUGAAACUGUUAUUCUAGAGUAUGGGAGAGGUAGGUGGAAUUCUUGGUGUAGGGGUAAAAUCCGUAGAUAUCAAGAGGAAUACUCGUGGCGAAGGCGACCUGCUAGAACAUAACUGACGCUGAUGCGCGAAAGCGUGGGGAGCAAACAGGAUUAGAUACCCUAGUAGUC
rnacentral:rRNA from 1 species